GCCGGAAUACUCAGUUGGUAACAAGGACUGAAAAUCCUCGUGUC
rnacentral:tRNA from 1 species